ACAACGGCUCUUAUAAGAGCCACCCACGUUUUCACAAAAAGAAGUU
rfam:Danio rerio chromosome 25 genomic contig CTG2378, GRCz11 reference primary assembly.